GAGGACUCCUUUAGGACUCCACACUCUAUCUCCUCUGCCAUCUAAAGGCUAUGUAUGUUUGAAAAUGCCAGGCAUUCAGACACCAUCACUAAACUGAAAUCUCAUACUGCGGGACAUAAUAGAUUUUCUGUACUGCAUAAAAUAUAGAGCUCAUGGCUCUAUGUCAAACCUAUGAAAUCAAAAUUGGGGUAUAGUGGGACCUGAGAAUGUUGUUUAAUAUAGUUCCUGGGUAGGGUGGCCCUUAGAUUUUUUUCAAAGACUGAACUCCACUUCCUGACUCUUGAUGCCCUCUCUCCUCUGACAAGAAAUUUUGCGAAAUCAACCUGCCCCAAAAGUAUUCCACUUCUUCCUGGAUACCCAAGGACUAUAGGAUGAACCACAUCCCUGACCUACUGAGCCCAGACAGUCUUGAGCAGACUAAGGUCCAUGUAAAUGUCAAAUAUUCCUCAUAAAAUCAACCUGAGAAUAACCACCUUCAGCUGCCCAAAGUCGAGGGAAUCGGGGCAACAACUCUUCAAUAACCUCUUCAAGCUGUAAAACAACAGGAGUUUACUUUUGAAACAUUUGCCUCAGCCAAGCUGCCUGGGUGACAGUUAAUAAGGAGAAAACCAGGAGACAUCCACAUGGAGUGGAGACUGUGAAGAUCAAAGCUGAGGGAGCCUCAGCCAGAGGAGUGUCCUUAGCACGCCACAAGCAGGUAUGCACUUAGCAGAAAACUAACUGGAAAUUAAAGAGCACGAGCACCUGCGAAGAGAUGCAGAAACGUGAGGUGAGCGAGUGCAU